rnacentral:rRNA from 1 species
GAUGAACGCUGGCGGCGUGCCUAAUACAUGCAAGUCGAGCGAACAGACGAGGAGCUUGCUCCUCUGACGUUAGCGGCGGACGGGUGAGUAACACGUGGAUAACCUACCUAUAAGACUGGGAUAACUUCGGGAAACCGGAGCUAAUACCGGAUAAUAUAUUGAACCGCAUGGUUCAAUAGUGAAAGACGGUUUUGCUGUCACUUAUAGAUGGAUCCGCGCCGCAUUAGCUAGUUGGUAAGGUAACGGCUUACCAAGGCAAUGAUGCGUAGCCGACCUGAGAGGGUGAUCGGCCACACUGGAACUGAGACACGGUCCAGACUCCUUCGGGAGGCAGCAGUAGGGAAUCUUCCGCAAUGGGCGAAAGCCUGACGGAGCAACGCCGCGUGAGUGAUGAAGGUCUUCGGAUCGUAAAACUCUGUUAUUAGGGAAGAACAAAUGUGUAAGUAACUAUGCACGUCUUGACGGUACCUAAUCAGAAAGCCACGGCUAACUACGUG